rnacentral:rRNA from 1 species
UUUUUGGAGAGUUUGAUCUUGGCUCAGGACGAACGCUGGCGGCGUGCCUAAUACAUGCAAGUCGAGCGAGUGAAAUUAAUUGAUCCCUUCGG